GGGCCCGCACAAGCGGUGGAGUAUGUGGUUUAAUUCGAUGCAACGCGAAGAACCUUACCAGGGUUUGACAUCCUGCGAAUCUCUUGGAAACGAGAGAGUGCCUUCGGGAACGCAGUGACAGGUGGUGCAUGGCUGUCGUCAGCUCGUGUCGUGAGAUGUUGGGUUAAGUCCCGCAACGAGCGCAACCCACGUCGUUAGUUGCCAGCAUUUAGUUGGGCACUCUAGCGAGACCGCCGGUGAUAAACCGGAGGAAGGUGUGGAUGACGUCAAGUCAUCAUGCCCCUUACAUCCUGGGCUACACACGUACUACAAUGCUACGGACAAAGGGCAGCAAACUCGCGAGAGCUAGCA
rnacentral:rRNA from 1 species